UGAUGCCUACGGGACGCAGCAGUGAGGAAUAUUGGUCAAUGGGCGGAAGCCUGAACCAGCCAAGUCGCGUGAGGGAAUAAGGCCCUACGGGUCGUAAACCUCUUUUGCCGGGGAGCAAGGGCGGGGACGUGUCCCGGCCCGGAGAGUACCCGGAGAAAAAGCAUCGGCUAACUCCGUGCCAGCAGCCGCGGUAAUACGGAGGAUGCGAGCGUUAUCCGGAUUUAUUGGGUUUAAAGGUUGCGUAGGCGGGCUUUGAAGUCAGCGUUAAAAAUU
rnacentral:rRNA from 1 species